rnacentral:rRNA from 1 species
GAUGAACGCUGGCGGCGUGCCUAAUACAUGCAAGUCGAGCGAACAGAUAAGGAGCUUGCUCCUUUGACGUUAGCGGCGGACGGGUGAGUAACACGUGGAUAACCUACCUAUAAGACUGGGAUAACUUCGGGAAACCGGAGCUAAUACCGGAUAACAUAUUGAACCGCUUGGUUCAAUAGUGAAAGGCGGCUUUGCUGUCACUUAUAGAUGGAUCCGCGCCGUAUUAGCUAGUUGGUAAGGUAACGGCUUACCAAGGCAACGAUACGUAGCCGACCUGAGAGGGUGAUCGGCCACACUGGAACUGAGACACGGUCCAGACUCCUACGGGAGGCAGCAGUAGGGAAUCUUCCGCAAUGGGCGAAAGACUGACGGAGCAACGCCGCGUGAGUGAUGAAGGUCUUCGGAUCGUAAAACUCUGUUAUCAGGGAAGAACAAAUGUGUAAGUAAUUGUGCACAUCUUGACGGUACCUGAUCAGAAAGCAACGGCUAACUACGUG